rnacentral:rRNA from 1 species
UACAGAGGUCCCAAGCGUUGUUCGGAUUUACUGGGCGUAAAGGGUGCGUAGGUGGCGGGGUAAGUCUGGUGUGAAAGCUCCGAGCUCAACUCGGAAAAGCAUUGGAAACUAUCCCGCUGGAGGGUCGGAGGGGAGACUGGAAUUCUCGGUGUAGCAGUGAAAUGCGUAGAUAUCGAGAGGAACACCAGUGGCGAAGGCGAGUCUCUGGACGACUCCUGACACUGAGGUACGAAAGCUAGGGGAGCAAACAGG